rnacentral:tRNA from 1 species
AAAGAAUUAAUUUAUCAAAAAUAAUAGUUAGUCAAACUAUAAAAAUUAGAGUAUCUAAUAUUCUUUU